rnacentral:rRNA from 1 species
GAGUUUGAUCGUGGCUCAGGAUGAACGCUGGCGGCGUGCCUAACACAUGCAAGUCGAGCGAAGCGAUUUGGAGGAAGUUUUCGGAUGGAAUCCGAAUUGACUGAGCGGCGGACGGGUGAGUAACGCGUGGGUAACCUGCCUCAUACAGGGGGAUAACAGUUAGAAAUGACUGCUAAUACCGCAUAAGCGCACGGGAGCGCAUGCUCUUGUGUGAAAAACUCCGGUGGUAUGAGAUGGACCCGCGUCUGAUUAGGUAGUUGGU